CCCUUCGGUUGAAAUCUCACAUCACUUUUAAAACAAAAACCAUGGUCUAAUUCUUUGCUUUCUUAUGAAUUUAAUCAGAAUGGAUCAGAUGAUAUGUGCCAGACCUGAGCAUUUCACUGUACAUAAAUUGUAUCUCAGUUAACAAGUAGACAAAUGUCCAAAAAACGAAAACUUGGUCUGAUCCAGUGGUUUUGCGGUCAGGUGGAGGCUGAGCUGUGCAGAGUCAGAGUUACCUUUGAUUUGGUUUUAGCCAUGACACGUCCUCCUUUUGGAAUACCAAAUAAUAUUAGAGAAGGGAAGGAGAUUUCAUAUUUGUAAGAAGGAUGAAAGUGUUAGGAUAUAGGUUAAAAUCAACCGGGAUGCACAUAGGGCAGACUCCAGGGUGUGAAGGAAGGUUUUUUACUGGCACUAAUAAGGGUGCCACUAAUAUUGCCCUUUGUUCCCUCUCGUCCUUGAGGGAAUCAUCCUGAAAGGCUGCUUUUGUUUUGAACAGCUAGUCUUAACUAUAUACCUUCCGUAAUUUGAUUUUUGAACCAUGUGUGGAUGUAAUAACUCUUUAGAAAAUCAAGUGUGUUUAAAGAAAACCCCAGCCUUCUCUGAUGUUAAACAGCUGCUGAACGGGUCCCGUGGGAGGGGAGAGUAGUGAUAGCCAAGAAGGACUGGGGGUGCUCCGUGCCCUGGUGCAGUGUGCAUCUCCCCAACAGCAGCACCGCUGGGUCAGCAUCGCUGCUCACGGACACAGAUUGGAGACAGCGCCCUGGUGCAUCUGCUCAUAGCACCUGUGGGCCAUGAAUAGAGCUGGGAAAGUGAGUGUCCUGCUUCUGGGCGGCUUGAUGAUGGGAAAGUUGAUCAGCCUCAUUCACUUGCAUAAUUCCACAGCACAGAGCAAGUGCUCUGUGCUUCUCUGUUCUCUGCCUUCCUCAUGCUUCGGUGAAUCCUGCAGUCAUUCAGAGUCAGAUAUUGCACGUCACAGGUUGGCCUGCUCUUGCUCUCCUGUUUCGCAGUGCCUGGCCCAUAGGAGGUGCUCGGUAAAUGUUGAUGAAAGGAAGGAAGGAUUGUCAUGCCUCAGCCAUCGGGUUAUUCACCAGCUCCCAAAGUCACUCUGUAACCUGGUGGCUUUACACGUGCUGUUCCUUGUGCUGGAAUGCCUCGACCCGCCUUCCUCAUCCUUCCAGUGCCCCUCCCUGGAAGGCCCACCUUCUCGUAGCAGGGUGGCGCUGCCUGGUGUGUCUUCAGGAGUCUUCAGGCUCCACAGCACAGCACUGGCCACUUGUUCCACAUAAGUACCUCCACGUUCACAAGUGGUGUGCCAGGCAGCCCUACAGGGAUCCACGUUCACAAGUGGUGUGCCAGGCAGCCCUACAGGGAUCCAUGUUCACAAGUGUGUGCCAGGCAGCCCUACAGGGAUCCACGUUCACAAGUGGUGUGCCAGGCAGCCCUACAGGGAUCCACGUUCACAAGUGGUGUGCCAGGCAGCCCUACAGGGAUCCAUGUUCACAAGUGGUGUGCCAGGCAGCCCUACAGGGUUCCAUGUUCACAAGAGUGUGUCAGGCAGCCCUACAGGGAUCCAUGUUCAAAAGUGGUGUGCCAGGCAGCCCUACAGGGAUCCAUGUUCACAAGUAGUGUGUCAGGCAGCCCUACAGGGAUCCAUGUUCACAAGAGUGUGUCAGGCAACCCUACAGGGAUCCAUGUUCACAAGUGGUGUGUCAGGCAGCCCUACAGGGAUCCAUGUUCACAAGUGGUGUGCCAGGCAGCCCUACAGGGAUCCAUGUUCACAAGUAGUGUGUCAGGCAGCCCUACAGGGAUCCAUGUUCACAAGAGUGUGUCAGGCAGCCCUACAGGGAUCCAUGUUCACAAGUGGUGUGCCAGGCAGCCCUACAGGGAUCCAUGUUCACAAGUAGUGUGUCAGGCAGCCCUACAGGGAUCCAUGUUCACAAGUAGUGUGUCAGGCAGACCUUUGAGGAUCCCCAGCUUUCAGAAGGCUGGUGCAUACACAUUUAGUCAUUCUUGGUAAAUAAAAUAGCUUUCAGACCUUUUCACUGUCUUCAUUCACCAGCCCCAGAAAGUAGCUUUAGUUUUAAGAUCUCUUUUCAUCUUUCAUGAAGAAAUGAAGUUUCUUUCUCUUCCUGAGGCUUGCCGUUCCUUCAGGAGGGCAGAAGCUGUCUUUUCGUCAGGAUGUGGGGCUGCUGGGCAGUUUGUUCCCUGCCACCAGCCCUGUGGAACGGUCCAUUCAGCAGCCCCUGCUUUAGCCACUCCCAAGCGAGAAUGCAGGACCCUCCCCAAGCUGAGCUGUACCGCCUGUCUCUGGGCCCCUGUGUGUGUGGACACGUCCAUCUCAUACCCUGCACUUUUGCCUCUGCAUUCCUGGUACCCAGCAGCGCCAGCCACAAAGAUUUUGAGUCAGUGACAAAGGUUGGGAGGAGCAGAGUUUAUGCAAGGUGUCCACGCAAGGCUUCCUCACUUCUGACACCAGCGGCACACUGAGGAGGUGUCCAAGCCAACUUUAUUUUUAUUUAUUUAUUAUUUAUUUUGAGACAGAGUCUCACUCUGUUGCCCAUGCUGGAGUGCAAUGGUGCAGUGUUGGCUCACUGAAACUUCCACCUCCUGGGUUCAAGCGAUUCUCCUGCUUCAGCCUCCCGAGUAGCUGGGAUUACAGGCGCCUGCCACCACAGCCAGCUAAUUUUUUGUAUUUCACCAUGUUGGCCAGGCUGGUCUUGAACUCCUGACAUCAGGUGAUCCACCCAUCUCAACCUCUCAAAGUGCUGGGAUUACAGAUGUGAGCCACAGCACCCGGUCCCAAGCCAACUUUAUAUUCUCCCUAUCACCAUAACCCACAGAGCUCCCUGAAAGCAGUUAUGCUCACAGUUAUGAUCUACUGCAGCAAAAGGAUAUAGGUUAAAAUCAGCCAAGAUGCACACAGGGCGCAGUCCAGGAGGGAAUCGAAUGCAGAGGUCCUGUCGGACUCUCCUGUGGAAUCAGAUGUGUUGUGUUCCCAGCACCCACAUGUGGCAGUGUACAUAGAGUAUUGCCUGCCCGGGUGCUCCCCUGAGCCUUGGUGUCCAGAGUUUUUCCUGGGGCUCCAUGACAUGGGCAGAACUGGUUGGCUGAUUGCUCAGGUACUGCAUGGCCAGCCCCUGCUCCAUAUCCUGUCGUUAGCUGAGGACCAAGGCCAGCCCUCUUUUUGGGAAAGGUUAAAUUCUUGCCUUCCUUCCUGUCACUGUCACUUCUGGUGCCACUACUCCUGGAGGAGCCCUGGCAUAGUGAGGGGAUCUCAGGCCUCCACAUUAUUGAAAAAUGAAGAGCUCGAGGAGAUCAAGAAGGAGACCGGCCUUUCCCACCGUCAAAUCACCCCCUCUACAGCUGGUUCACCAGCCUGGACAAAGGAGAGAACGGAAUGAUUUUCAGAGGAUUCCAGAACUUGCUGUCAACCCAGUGGGGGACUGGGUCAUCAGUGCCUUCUUUCCAGAGGGAGAGGACCAGAUAAACUCUGUGGAUUCCUGCGAACUUUGGCUUAUAUCCGAACCAUUGAGGAUAAUGAAGAGAGCAAAGAUGUGAAUGGACCUGAACCACUCAGCAACAAAUAGCACUUUGCUUCUGGACUAUAUGAGUUGGAUAAAGAUGACAAGACCUCCUGUGAUGAGCUGUUAGCAGGCGCCAUGCGUGAUGGUCCAAGUUAAUGUCUCAGAUGAGCAGCUGAGCGGCGGCGCAGACAGGACCAUUCGGGAGGCUGAUCCGCGUGGGGACAGUGACAUAUCUUUAUCACAGACUUUGCUAAGGUUUUGGAGAAGGUCGAUGCAGAGCAGAAAAUGAGCAUUCCAUUUCUUCGCUAAAGGACGGACAGCAAACUGUUCCUUGUGGUCUAGUAUUUAAGAACUGGAACUUGACAGUCCUCGUGUCCACCAGCCCCACCUCCGCUCCUUCAGUCCCUUUCUCCCAAAGUGCUACUGCUGUUGCAUGACAACCCCAAGUAUGUUCUGUCAACACAAACCUGCCUUUGGUCUAUAAACAGGGCAUUACAGAACGGUACACCCAGUCUGUUUCUGCUCUGUAUCCAUUCACCAGUUCUUCAUUUACAAAUACCAUCUUUCUGUGUUCUGCUGCCGAAUGCCACACAUCCAUCAAGUCUGAGAAAGUACGAUGGAGAAUCAUGCUGAGAAACAGGCCAGCAAAGCUCUUCCGCUGGAUGUAGACUGCGCCCAUGCUGCCUUCCCUCUGGCGAGUUCGCCAGCAUGCAUCCUUUUUAUAUGUCCGUUGCUUCCUAUUUCUGUGUCAUUCAGCAUACUGUUCACCGAGUCAUGCAGUCUUUCUGCUUUUCGUUAAGCCUCAAAAUCUCCUCUAUUCUACUUGGCACCCCAAGCUAUGCCUGGUAUAUGUAUUUCUGACUUGGCAGGAUAGUUCAGUGGUGUGGUAGUUUUUAUCUACCUUCAUUAGACUUCAUGAAUCAGGCUAUUGCCGUCCUAAUGUAUGUCUCUGUGAGUCUGUUCAUUCACAUAUCUGCCCUUGGCUUUCGUGACUCAUUGCUUGCUUGCUUGUUUCCUUGAUUUGGAAACUAUUGAAGGUGUGUACAUAAUUCUUUAGGAAGGGGAUUGCUAAAAAAUACCACUGCAAAGCAAUGGAAAAAGGUGGAGAACAGGGAAGUAGCCAGGCUGGAUGGCUCAAAUAGAAAUGAACGAGGAAUUCUUUAUGAAGUAUCAGUUGGACUUUGUGAUUGAGUGAUGUAGUAUAGGAAUUGUAUAAAAGGGAAGACAUCUUACACUGAUCUGUUAGAAAGGUACUUCAGAGGCUCGUUGAUUUUCAUAUUUAAAGUUCCUAAGAUUAUAGCUUUUCCCCUCUUUUGGCUGUAUAGCAGACUGAUUUAAUCCACAGUUGUGCCUUAUUGUUCCAUUAAAAUUGUAUCUUCAGUCCAUCAGUAAAUACUUGUGGUUAUAACAAAACAAAACAAAAAUUCUUUACUGCGUGCUGAGGGCAGGGCUCUGUCAAGGUGUACCGAGUGGCUUUGUAAGCUGUGAACACAGUGCACGUGGGACAUGGGAUGAAGUCUCUUCUGUGUGAUUUUAAGUCUUUGCAAACUUUUAGAUCAUAAGGAGCUAAGCUCAGUCUGCUCUUGAAAACUGAUAGUGACACGCCGUGUUGCCC